UCCAGGCCCUACGGGGCGCAGCAGGCGCGAAACCUCCGCAAUGCGGGAAACCGCGACGGGGGGACCCCGAGUGCCGUGGCAACGCCACGGCUUUUCCGGAGUGUAAAAAGCUCCGGGAAUAAGGGCUGGGCAAGGCCGGUGGCAGCCGCCGCGGUAAUACCGGCGGCCCGAGUGGUGGCCGCUAUUAUUGGGCCUAAAGCGUCCGUAGCCGGGCCCGUAAGUCCCUGGCGAAAUCCCACGGCUCAACCGUGGGGCUUGCUGGGGAUACUGCGGGUCUUGGGACCGGGAGAGGAGGGGGGUACCCUGGGGUAGGGGUGAAAUCCUAUAAUCCCAGGGGACCGCCAGUGGCGAAGGCGCCCCGCUGGAACGGGUCCGACGGUGAGGGACGAAGGCCAGGGGAGCAAACCGGAUUAGAUACCCGGGUAGUCCUGGCUGUAAAGGAUGCGGGCUAGGUGUCGGGUGAGCCUCGAGCUCGCCCGGUGCCGUAGGGAAGCCGUUAAGCCCGCCGCCUGGGGAGUACGGCCGCAAGGCUGAAACUUAAAGGAAUUGGCGGGGGAGCACUACAAGGGGUGGAGCGUGCGGUUUAAUUGGAGUCAACGCCGGA
rnacentral:rRNA from 1 species